rnacentral:rRNA from 1 species
GAUGAACGCUGGCGGCGUGCCUAACACAUGCAAGUCGAACGAAGCAAUUAAGAUGAGGUUUUCGGAUGGAAUCUUGAUUGACUGAGUGGGCGACGGGUGAAGGUAACGCGUGGAUAACCUGCCUCACACUGGGGGAUAACAGUUAGAAAUGACUGCUAAUACCGCAUAAGCGCACAGUGCCGCAUGGCAGUGUGUGAAAAACUCCGGUGGUGUGAGAUGGAUCCGCGUCUGAUUAGCCAGUUGGCGGGGUAACGGCCCACCAAAGCGACGAUCAGUAGCCGACCUGAGAGGGUGACCGGCCACAUUGGGACUGAGACACGGCCCAA